rnacentral:lncRNA from 10 species
GGCUCAAACGAUCCUCUCAUCUCAGCCUCUUGAGUAGCUGGAACCACAGAUUGUUCAUUUGGUCGAAGUGUUUAACCCUCCCAGAUAGAUGAGAACCAUCCCUUGUCAAGGACAUGAGUGACUAUGAAGGCUGGCUGCAAACUCAAAAAAGGACUGAGUCAGAAGUUUUUCCUGCAUUCUCUCACAAGCUCUCUCACCUGCUGCCAUGUAAGAGGUGCCUGCUUCCCCUUCGGCCAUGAUUUUAAGUUUCC